CCCUUAGAGUUUGAUCCUGGCUCAGGACGAACGCUGGCGGCGCGCCUAACACAUGCAAGUCGAACGAGCGAGAGAGAGCUUGCUUUCUCGAGCGAGUGGCGAACGGGUGAGUAACGCGUGAGGAACCUGCCUCAAAGAGAGGGACAACAGUUGGAAACGACUGCUAAUACCGCAUAAGCCCACGACCCGGCAUCGGGUAGAGGGAAAAGGAGCAAUCCGCUUUGAGAUGGCCUCGCGUCCGAUUAGCUAGUUGGUGAGGUAAUGGCCCACCAAGGCGACGAUCGGUAGCCGGACUGAGAGGUUGAACGGCCACAUUGGGACUGAGACACGGCCCAGACUCCUACGGGAGGCAGCAGUGGGGAAUAUUGCACAAUGGGGGAAACCCUGAUGCAGCGACGCCGCGUGGAGGAAGAAGGUCUUCGGAUUGUAAACUCCUGUUGUUGAGGAAGAUAAUGACGGUACUCAACAAGGAAGUGACGGCUAACUACGUGCCAGCAGCCGCGGUAAAACGUAGGUCACAAGCGUUGUCCGGAAUUACUGGGUGUAAAGGGAGCGCAGGCGGGAAGGCAAGUUGGAAGUGAAAUCCAUGGGCUCAACCCAUGAACUGCUUUCAAAACUGUUUUUCUUGAGUAGUGCAGAGGUAGGCGGAAUUCCCGGUGUAGCGGUGGAAUGCGUAGAUAUCGGGAGGAACACCAGUGGCGAAGGCGGCCUACUGGGCACCAACUGACGCUGAGGCUCGAAAGUGUGGGUAGCAAACAGGAUUAGAUACCCUGGUAGUCCACACUGUAAACGAUGAUUACUAGGUGUUGGAGGAUUGACCCCUUCAGUGCCGCAGUUAACACAAUAAGUAAUCCACCUGGGGAGUACGACCGCAAGGUUGA
rnacentral:rRNA from 1 species